rnacentral:tRNA from 1 species
GCCGGAGUGGUGGAAUGGCAGACACAGAGGAUUUAAAAUCCUCAGACCUAACGGUCGUGCGGGUUCAAGUCCCGCCUCCGGUACCA